GGAGAAUUAGCUCAGCUGGGAGAGCAUCUGCCGUACAAGCAGAGGGUCGGCGGUUCGAACCCGUCAUUCUCCACCA
rnacentral:tRNA from 1 species